UGUCACUCCAUACUGUGUCCGGAACAUGCCCAAGUACUUUCCUGCCUUGGGGUUACUGCCUGGGAUGCUCUUCCCUUAAUACACAUGAAACUCCCUCCUUCCCUACUUCAGAUGCUACAUCUAAGGACCUACUGAGAUGUUCUCCUUGGUGCUAAGAUGAUGAAUAAACCUGAGACACUUGGAAACUUCUAAGCUCUUAUGGGAUGAAUGAUGGUUAUUAUAUCAUAAGAUGCCCAGGCAUUACAAGGGAAAGAGUUGCAAGAGGUGAAGAAAGGAUCCAGUAUCUUGCCAAAAAGAAGCUCCUUCUGCAAAUAAAGAACAUACAAAAAAGGCAUCUUAACCAACCAAACAAAAAAUGCCAUUGCACAGUUGUGAUUC